rnacentral:rRNA from 1 species
GACGAACGCUGGCGGCGUGCUUAACACAUGCAAGUCGACCGAGUGGCGGACGGGUGAGUAAUGUCUGGGAAACUGCCUGAUGGAGGGGGAUAACUACUGGAAACGGUAGCUAAUACCGCAUACCAUCGGAUGUGCCCAGAUGGGAUUAGCUAGUAGGUGGGGUAAAGGCUCACCUAGGCGACGAUCCCUAGCUGGUCUGAGAGGAUGACCAGCCACACUGGAACUGAGCCACGGUCCCGACUCCGACGUGAUGCAGCAGUGGGUAAUAUUGCACAAUGGGCGCAAGCCUGAUUCAGCCAUGCCGCGUGUAUGAAGAAGGCCUUCGGGUUGUAAAGUACUUUCAGCGGGGAGGCGUUACCCGCAGGAGAAGCACCGGCUAACUCCGUGCCAGCAGCCGCGGUAAUAC